CCAAAGCAGCUUUAGGUGAGUGACGGUCGGCAGUUGGUGACACACAAGAAGUGAGCAGCACACACGCAGCGUCACAAUGGCUCCCAUCGCAGUGGCGGACAUGUUGUCUUCUCUUUCGUCUGCUGAGGCGGCCAUCGUCUCCUUAGUCGUCUUCCUCAUCCUCAGCAUCAGUCUGGUGGCUCUUUGCAACGACUGUAGGCGGAACUCGGGCAACGCGUACGACGUGAACCGAGGAGUUACGGUAUGAACUUCCUGUCACUAUGAAUUAUAUUUUAGUACCACCUUUGAGCAUGCCAGUGUUUACUCUACGUGAUAUUUGGGCAAUGUUACGACGUUUCAUAAAUGUUGACUUCAAAAUCCAACUGUGAUUAUUGUAUUUACCGGACUAUAGAGCGCACCGGUGUAUAAGCCGCACACACUCAAUUUUAGGAGAAAUUAUUUUUUUCCAUAUAUAAACCGCACCGGACUAUAAGCCGCAGAUGUAUAUGUUGUGA